GCCUUUUUCUGUUUCAGCAUGGAACCAAAGGGAGGACUCAAACCCUGUAAUAGCACAGAUAUAAGAACUACAGUCUUCAGUGAGGGGACCCCAAUCUUCCUUGGCCAGUUCUGACUCAGGCAUUGCUUAGACACGUGCACAGAUCUCUGUCAGGAUGGUGUUUGGUUGUAGAGUAAUUGAGAGGAGGACUCUGAAUUUGGUCAGCCCCCGUGGCCACUACUGUGCCUCUUCCCUCCCUCUGCAUCAGCCCUCACAGCCCAGCAGAAAUUCCUCAGCAUCCUUCAGAUGUCAGCUGACAGCAUUCCUUGCUUCCUCUCAUGGACUUGGUCAGCACCUGGAUGAUGGCAUUCCGUGCGCCUGGGCUGUCCUGUUAUCCUGGGAAGCAGAGCCUGGAUGCCACAUGCUAGCCCAAGUUCAGGUGUACACAGGCCUGUAGAGCCCUGGUCACUGCCAGC